rnacentral:rRNA from 1 species
AGAGUCCUCUUGCGUAGUAACUGGCAAUAAGUAAUCCACCUGGGGAGUACGACCGCAAGGUUGAAACUCAAAGGAAUUGACGGGGGCCCGCACAAGCAGUGGAGUAUGUGGUUUAAUUCGAAGCAACGCGAAGAACCUUACCAGGUCUUGACAUCCGAUGCAUAGCGCAGAGAUGCGUGAAGUCCUUCGGGACAUCGAGACAGGUGGUGCAUGGUUGUCGUCAGCUCGUGUCGUGAGAUGUUGGGUUAAGUCCCGCAACGAGCGCAACCCUUAUUGCCAGUUACUACGCAAGAGGACUCU